AAGAAGAAGAAGAAGCACAACAAAACUGCCAAUGGUACAAUAAGCGAACCAGUUGAGGUCUUGAUGAUCCCGUCCUCGAGCUGCGACUCUCAAGAAUCACAAGAUGAGACUGGUAAAGAAAAUGCAAAGAGAGUCGAGCCCAAGAAUCAAAGCAGCAAAAGCCCCAAACCCAAGAAAAGCAACAAGAGAAAAGAAAAAGCAGAAGCUGAUUAUGAGGAUGGAGAAGACGGGACGAUGUGUAGGUUCCCAAUGGCCAGGAUAAAGAGGAUAAUAAAGAGCGAAGACUCUGGUUUGCAACUCACUCAGGAUGUCGUCUUUCUCGUCAAUAAAGCCACGGAGAAGUUCAUUGAACAAUUUUGCGAGGAAGCAUAUGGAUGUUCAGUUCGAGAUCGAAAGAACUAUCUUGCAUACAAGCACCUGUCAUCAGCUGUUAGUAAGCAGAGAAGAUUUGAUUUUCUUUCAGAUUUUGUUCCUGAGAAACUAAAAGCUGAGGAUGCCUUGGCACAGAGAAAAUUGGUGGAGAAUAGGCAAGGAUAGGACCUUGGUAACACGCUAAGAUUAUAAUCCUUGCUCUUACUCAUUUUCCUUGGUAAAUCAUGCUUAUCUCAUAGGACUUCCAUUUGUUUUCAAUUGGUUGUAUAUUAUAGAGGGGAAAGGCAUCAGUUUCUGACAACUCAGAUUGGUUAUUCUCUUUCAUUUCCUAGUCCUUGCCUCUUGUUUUCAAUUGGCAUUGUAUUUUGUUGAUGAAAACAAUUCCUUGCUACCAAGUUAGGUUGGACAGUCAUUCUUAUUUUCUAGGCCUUUCCUUUUGCUUUCAAUUGGCUGUGUAUUUAGCAGGUAAUGGUAUUGAUUCCUAGUGAUUCAAUGGGAUCCAUGUGUAUGCACAUCUUGCUCUUCAGGCUACAAAAGAAGAAGGGUUGAUGCAGCAUAAACCAUUGUUGUCUGUGAAUUGAAUUCUUUUCAUGUUUGGUUGGUGAAAAAUUGUGUAAUUCUCUUUUACAAUAUUUGCUGAAGCAUGCACCCAAGUCUUGCGAUGAAAAAAAAAGAGAAUUACACAAUUUUUCACCAAC
rnacentral:misc_RNA from 1 species